AGAACCUCACCCUGAAAAAAAAACGAAAGUGGUGGCGCUAGCCGCGACAACUCCGCUCUUCCAUAAGGAACUAUCUCAACAAUUAUCAAACAAGUUCCCUGUAGCAGAGUGAGUGGGCUUGGUGUGAUGGAGGGACCUGUGCUGUUGGGAUCCACAGAGUACAUCUCUGUUUCAUAAAUCAACCCCAAGUAUGAAGACUGGGCAACAACACAACUCCAUUUGUCUGUGACGCUCACAUAGUGGUGGAAGCAGAGUUUGCCCGCAUCACCACUGUCCCAUUGAGAUGCAGAUUCAUGCAGCAGCUAGAUCACCACUCAUUGCAGCUAAUGAGAAUCUUCCGAAGGAAAGGAGGAGCUGCUGGAAAAAAAAUUAAGAACAUCAUGGCAGACUUGGACAAGGAUGAUGCCAUUGAAACUAAACGAGCUUGUGUACUGAAAGCAUUAGUUGUUUAUCUCAAUGAAGACCCAGAAACCCUCAUAAAGGAGUACAUUGAUGUUGAGGACAACCAGGAGGGAAUGCGGCAGAUGAUCCUGGGAAUCUUCAUCAUUAAGAAGGAAGGUGCAGAGCCCACAGAUGACCUUGAAGAUGUUGGAAUAAUCAUUGAAGGUGUCGAAGUGCUUCAUGACCUCGGUAACAUUGCUAAUGCAGUCACCAUUUUGUUUGGCCUCAUUUACUCACUGGACUUGAGCUACCCUACAAAGCUUAAGUACACAUUUGAGGUUUUCCAAAAGAUUGUGAUGGAACUGGAUGGAAACUCUCUCAACUAAAGCUCAAGUGCUAAAAAACAAACUGUUUGAAUGAACAGUUCAGAAAAGACAUUGCAAGGAGGAGAGAGGACCAAGAGGUGGUAGAGAGGAGCACUAAAAGACCAUUUAGAAUAACCUUGAAAUGGCGCUGCAGAACACUUGGACAAUGGUUUUUAUCCCUAACCAUCUACAGGACUGGAAUCGUUUGGACCCACACAUUGAACUCUUAAUGGUCUUUGAAAAUGAUGUCUGAAUAUGUUUUACCAAACGUUUAAGUUUUUCAUUUGAGGUUUAUUGAGGGUGAGACUUCAAAAUGGAGAGCGUAGCAAAGAUUGGUAUAAAAGAGGGGGCAAUGAGAGAUGUCAGAAGGUUAGAGCAAGAUUGUUGAGAAUGAGAGAAGUUAAAUUAGUCUCAUGGCAGUAGACAAAAUAUUGAGCAAGACUUAGAGGCACAACAGGAAUGUUAAGAUUUUAAGUUGGUUUGAUACAUUUAUCAGGACAUGUUGAUUUUACAGGUGGUGCAAUUUUCAAAAUGUCCAUCUUUAGCUAAAUGGUGAAGCAGUUUUGAGCUUAUCAGAUUUUAUUUUUUACAGAUUUGUUAUCCUGAAAGGAAAAAGGGAAUUUGCUUUUUUAAGUAUUUCUAUGGUAUAGCACUGUUUAACCUUUUUCAUAUUCAUAUUCAGUGUUAGAAAAUGCCAUUUAAGUAUUGAUUUCCAUUUUAAUUUCAUCUGAAGGCUUUUCUGGUUUAGAAUUGUGCAGGUCACACACAAGUCCAGACGGUUUUUGUUAAAUGCGCAUUUUUAUAAUAUUUAGAGGUAGGGAAAACAUGUUAGAUGUUUCUCUUAAAGAAAUAAUAACCAUCUCAUCUGUCUGUUCUUAAAUUGACAGUGUUUUCUUGGAUGACAGUUAUAGGAGUUCAUUUAUCUGUAAACAUUCUUGAUAGUUGAUCAUUGUUAGGGUUAAAGGGUAAAGCUGGUGAUUUUCUUUUUUGUUUUUACAAAUAUAGGCCACAGGAUCAAAAAGUAAAUUUAUCUACUAUGUGUAAGUAUUUCUUUCUCCAAAACCUGAUAUGUCUUAACUCUUUCUGCCAUUUGUUGUUGGUUUGGUCUUUCAACAGGUUUAGAAAAUAUUAACAUGAUGUAUAAAAUCACAGAUGUAACCUUAUUAAUGUGAGAGUAAAAAGACUUUUCCUUCUUUGCUCCUUAGUGAAUGCUCUUAAACAUGAAAAUGUUUGAUACUCAGGCAAAGGUUUGGUUCUGUGUUUCAGAGGUAAUAAACAUUUGCUCCAAAAAACUAAAA